GAAGAAGGAUCAAAGACUAAGAACGCCACAUCGUGUGGCAAUGUCUUUGUAUCCCACAUCCUGUGGG
rnacentral:sRNA from 1 species